UACGGGGGGGGCAAGCGUUGUUCGGAAUUACUGGGCGUAAAGGCUCGUAGGUGGCCAACUAAGUCAGACGUGAAAUCCCCAGGCUUAACCUGGGAACUGCGUCUGAUACUGGAUGGCUUGAAUUCGGGAGAGGGAUGCAGAAUUCCAGGUGUAGCGGUGAAAUGCGUAGAUAUCUGGAGGAAUACCGGUGGCGAAGGCGGCAUCCUGGACCGAGAUUGACACUGAUGAGCGAA
rnacentral:rRNA from 1 species